AGUCCUGUCUGCGAGCCUUUGUUAACAUCAUCAAUGCAAGAGAUGUUUCUUGUUGCUCAACAUUCUGAAGAUAAUCAGCUGCAACAAUACUCUGCGUGGGCACUUUCUUUUCUUCGACAUAAUCUGUGGUCCAAGGAAGUAAAUUCGGAUGAUCAUAUUCAGACUGAUACCACUGUCCCAGAAGUUGCUUCUCAAAGUUUCUCCAAUGAUAGUAUAGUCAUUAAACUCUGCUCAUGGUUAACGAAUGUGAAUUCAUCAAAGAUGGAUAGGCCAAAUACAGAGACACAUGGAAUGUGCUUGUUGAAGUUGUAGCAACUUUACAACGUGCUGAAGGAAGCAUUAAAAGACAGUGGCUUGUUUAUGCAGUGGAGAUUAGCUGUGUCUCUAAUUUUCCCUCUAUGCCAAUGCAAUUUAUUGGCCUGCUCUCAGGCAGUUGCUGCAAAUACAUGCCUUUGUUGAUCCCGGAUCGCUUCAGUGUCUUGUCU